GGGUGCUUAGCUCAGUUGGUAGAGCUUCGCCUUUACACGGCGGAGGUCGGGGGUUCGAGACCCUCAGCACCCACCA
rnacentral:tRNA from 1 species